ACUAUUUUGACAGAAAAAUGUAUUGAUUUUAGAAAUCAUUAAUAUAUAAUAAAUAUUUAUAUAUAUAGUA
rnacentral:tRNA from 1 species